rnacentral:tRNA from 1 species
AGGGUCGUGGUGUAACAGGCAGCACAGCAGACUUUUAAUCUGCACGGUGUGGGUUCGAUUCCCUCCGGCCCUA